GCCUGAUCACUGUUUCUGAACAAAAUGCAUUAUUUUAACAGUUUUAAGUGAUCCUGUCAAAAGGCGAGAGUAUGAUGAGAAGGGAGUCUGUGUAGUCGAAGACUAUAAUGCUAUUGAAUACCUGAACCGAUACAAGGGCCUGAUAUUAACAUGCAAUGGCCUUGGCAUUAGAUAUCCAAUAUGGUGAAUCAACUGCAAGCGGUGGAACAAUACUGGAGAAGAUACGAGACUUAUCAUGUGAUUUCUCGACCAAGUGCGGUACAUUUCUCUAGUGGAUCAUAUAAAACGGCAAGCAUACGAUAAGAUGCAUGUAAAAUUUUCAAUGUCGUCUCAGUUGUUGCUGAAGGCUGAUGACAAACAGACUUUUGUGUCCUUGGCAUGCAGACUUGAUUGUUUGGGCAGGUUGGGACCAAUCAAGAAA